GACGAACGCUGGCGGCGUGCUUAACACAUGCAAGUCGAACGGAAAGGCCCUGCUUUUGUGGGGUGCUCGAGUGGCGAACGGGUGAGUAACACGUGAGUAACCUGCCCUUGACUUUGGGAUAACUUCAGGAAACUGGGGCUAAUACCGGAUAGGAGCUCCUGCUGCAUGGUGGGGGUUGGAAAGUUUCGGCGGUUGGGGAUGGACUCGCGGCUUAUCAGCUUGUUGGUGGGGUAGUGGCUUACCAAGGCUUUGACGGGUAGCCGGCCUGAGAGGGUGAGCGGCCCCGUUGGGACGGAGAUGCGGCACAGACUCCUGCGGGGUGCAGCAGUGGGGAAUAAUACACGAUGGGCGGAAGCCUGGUGCAGCAACGCCGCGUGCGGGAUGACGGCAUUCGGGUUGUAAACCGCAUUCGCCUGUGACGAAGCGUGAGUGACGGUAAUGGGUAAAGAAGCACCGGCUAACUACGUG
rnacentral:rRNA from 1 species